AUUAUUAAGCGGAGGAAAAGAAACUAACUAGGAUUCCCAUAGUAGCUGCGAGCGAACAGGGAAAAGCCCAGCACCGAAUCCCGCGUUUAAAUAUGUAGACGUUAGGAAAUGUGGUGUUAGGGAGGAUACAUUAUCUCAAAAUAUUUAUAAUGCGUCCAAGUCCUUCUUGAACGAGGCCAUUGUCCAUAGAGGGUGCCAGGCCCGUAUAGACCGUUAAAUAUUUUGAGGGUAUCUCUCCUUAGAGUCGGGUUGCUUGAGAGUGCAGCCCUAAGUGGGUGGUAAACUCCAUCUAAGGCUAAAUAUUACCACGAGACCGAUAGCGAACAAGUACCGUGAGGGAAAGUUGAAAAGCACUUUGAAGAGAGAGUUCAAUAGUACGUGAAACCGUUUAGGGGUAAACCUGAGAAACCCGAAAAGUCGAAGGAAGAAAUUCAUUCGCGUUUCGCUAUUGACAAAAUUGUGUAUGCUAGACAAUAAUUGUAUUGAUGUGUUCAUCUUUGUGGUGUGUAUUUUAAUAUAUGUGUUGCUACAUACCUAUUUUAAGUCUGAUGGUGGACGCGUGCAUUUUUCUUCUGGUAGGACGUUGCGAUCCGUUAGGAUAAUUAUCGAUCUAUGAUGUUUUAGUGGUUUAGUUCAUUAGUACAUAUUUAUUUAUGAUAAUAUUAAUGAAGCCAUACAAUCUGAUCGAUCUACCUGACGGUAAUUUAAUGGUUAAAAGUCGCUAUGAAAUAUUAGCGUUAGAGGUUGGACAAGUAUAUAAAUUGUGUAAAGGCAAUAUUAUUAUUCGUAGUAAUGUUGUUCUCGGUAAUCGGUAUUUAUAUCAAUUCCGGGCCGUUUAUUUACUGUUUGUACAACAUAUCUCUAACAGACUUUAUUAUUUUUAAAUAAAACCGAUCA
rnacentral:rRNA from 1 species